rnacentral:lncRNA from 1 species
GGUCAUUGUUCUUUCUGUGACAACUGAGAGUAAAGUGGAGUCUUGGUUUUCUCUCAUUAUGCCUUUUGCAACGGUUAUCUUUUUUGUCAUGAUCCUGGAUUUCUACGUGGAUUCCAUUUGUUCAGUCAAAAUGGAAGUUUCCAAAUGUGCUCGUUAUGGAUCCUUUCCCAUUUUUAUUAGUGCUCUCCUUUUUGGAAAUUUUUGGACACAUCCAAUAACAGACCAGCUUCGGGCUAUGAACAAAGCAGCACACCAGGAGAGCACUGAACACGUCCUGUCUGGAGGAGUGGUAGUGAGUGCUAUAUUCUUCAUUUUCUGCCAAUAUCUUAUCAUCUCCCUCUAAGAGAGGACAAAAAGGUACCCUUAUUGGAUAUUCUCCUGAAGGAACACCUCUUUAUAACUUCAUGGGUGAUGCUUUUCAGCAUAGCUCUCAAUCGAUCCCUAGGUUUAUUAAGGAAUCACUAAAACAAAUUCUUGAGGAGAGUGACUCUAGGCAGAUCUUUUACUUCUUGUGCUUGAAUCUGCUUUUUACCUUUGUGGAAUUAUUCUAUGGCGUGCUGACCAAUAGUCUGGGCCUGAUCUCGGAUGGAUUCCACAUGCUUUUUGACUGCUCUGCUUUAGUCAUGGGACUUUUUGCUGCCCUGAUGAGUAGGUGGAAAGCCACUCGGAUUUUCUCCUAUGGGUACGGCCGAAUAGAAAUUCUGUCUGGAUUUAUUAAUGGACUUUUUCUAAUAGUAAUAGCGUUUUUUGUGUUUAUGGAGUCAGUGGCUAGAUUGAUUGAUCCUCCAGAAUUAGACACUCACAUGUUAACACCAGUCUCAGUUGGAGGGCUGAUAGUAAACCUUAUUGGUAUCUGUGCCUUUAGCCAUGCCCAUAGCCAUGCCCAUGGAGCUUCUCAAGGAAGCUGUCACUCAUCUGAUCACAGCCAUUCACACCAUAUGCAUGGACACAGUGACCAUGGGCAUGGUCACAGCCACGGAUCUGCGGGUGGAGGCAUGAAUGCUAACAUGAGGGGUGUAUUUCUACAUGUUUUGGCAGAUACACUUGGCAGCAUUGGUGUGAUCGUAUCCACAGUUCUUAUAGAGCAGUUUGGAUGGUUCAUCGCUGACCCACUCUGUUCUCUUUUUAUUGCUAUAUUAAUAUUUCUCAGUGUUGUUCCACUGAUUAAAGAUGCCUGCCAGGUUCUACUCCUGAGAUUGCCACCAGAAUAUGAAAAAGAACUACAUAUUGCUUUAGAAAAGAUACAGAAAAUUGAAGGAUUAAUAUCAUACCGAGACCCUCAUUUUUGGCGUCAUUCUGCUAGUAUUGUGGCAGGAACAAUUCAUAUACAGGUGACAUCUGAUGUGCUAGAACAAAGAAUAGUACAGCAGGUUACAGGAAUACUUAAAGAUGCUGGAGUAAACAAUUUAACAAUUCAAGUGGAAAAGGAGGCAUACUUUCAACAUAUGUCUGGCCUAAGUACUGGAUUUCAUGAUGUUCUGGCUAUGACAAAACAAAUGGAAUCCAUGAAAUACUGCAAAGAUGGUACUUACAUCAUGUGAGAUAACUCAAGAAUUACCCCUGGAGAAUAAACAAUGAAGAUUAAAUGACUCAGUAUUUGUAAUAUUGCCAGAAGGAUAAAAAUUACACAUUAACUGUACAGAAACAGAGUUCCCUACUACUGGAUCAAGGAAUCUUUCUUGAAGGAAAUUUAAAUACAGAAUGAAACAUUAAUGGUAAAAGUGGAGUAAUUAUUUAAAUUAUGUGUAUAAAAGGAAUCAAAUUUUGAGUAAACAUGAUGUAUUACAUCAUCUUCAAAAAUAGAUAUGAUGGAUUCUAGUGAAGACCAAAAUUACUUCUGUUUACUUUCUAUCAGGAAGCAUCUCCAUUGUAAAUAUGUAUUUACAUGUUUAUUACAA